GAUGAACGCUGGCGGCGUGCCUAAUACAUGCAAGUCGAGCGAACAGACGAGGAGCUUGCUCCUCUGACGUUAGCGGCGGACGGGUGAGUAACACGUGGAUAACCUACCUAUAAGACUGGGAUAACUUCGGGAAACCGGAGCUAAUACCGGAUAAUAUAUUGAACCGCAUGGUUCAAUAGUGAAAGACGGUUUUGCUGUCACUUAUAGAUGGAUCCGCGCCGCAUUAGCUAGUUGGUAAGGUAACGGCUUACCAAGGCAACGAUGCGUAGCCGACCUGAGAGGGUGAUCGGCCACACUGGAACUGAGACACGGUCCAGACUCCUACGGGAGGCAGCAGUAGGGAAUCUUCCGCAAAGGGCGAAAGCCUGACGGAGCAACGCCGCGUGAGUGAUGAAGGUCUUCGGAUCGUAAAACUCUGUUAUUAGGGAAGAACAAAUGUGUAAGUAACUAUGCACGUCUUGACGGUACCUAAUCAGAUAGCCACGGCUAACUACGUG
rnacentral:rRNA from 1 species